ACGAAACUUCUAAGUACCGAAGUGUGGUCUGAUCUUCAUCUGCCCUUCUCUGGAAGUACCUUUCCUUCAUCCGGGAAUGGUGUAUUUAGCUUAUAGUAGGAGUCCCCCAAGUCGCCGAGCUAGGAGAUCUGCCGAAAGAGGUGACAGACAAGGUAAGCAGUCAAACUUCCAAGUAAGCAACCCAGGAUCAGAGGUUUGACUUCGGCUUCCGGUUGAUUGUUCUCCUUCUCAUUGUCUCUCAUUCAACUGCCAGGAUAAGAAGAAGCAAAUGGAUAAGAGAUGAUAUGAGAUACUUUUGCUUUUGAAGAAGUAACUUUCCACAGGCUUAUUCUUGAACUGUGCUGGAGGGUUUUCUGGUGCCCUUCAGAGUAUAAGGCCGAUUCAAAAAUUUGAGGGUCAAAACAAGUCCAUCAAAUCUAGAGUACGUUCGACCUUGAUGAUAUGGGAUACUUUU
rnacentral:lncRNA from 1 species